ACCUGGUUGAUCCUGCCAGUAGUCAUAUGCUUGUCUCAAAGAUUAAGCCAUGCAUGUCUAAGUAUAAGCAAUCUAUACGGUGAAACUGCGAAUGGCUCAUUAAAUCAGUUAUCGUUUAUUUGAUAGUACCUUGCUACUUGGAUACCUGUGGUAAUUCUAGAGCUAAUACAUGCUAAAACCCCCGACUUCGGGAGGGGGGUAUUUAUUAGAUAAAAAACCAAUGCCCCCCGGGGCUCCCUGGUGAUUCAUAAUAACUCAACGAAUCGCAUGGCCUUGCGCCGGCGAUGGUUCAUUCAAAUUUCUGCCCUAUCAACUUUCGAUUGUAAUGUAGUGGAUUACAAUGGUGUCUACGGGUAACGGGGGAUUAGGGUUCGAUUCCGGAGAGGGAGCCUGAGAAACGGCUACCACAUCCAAGGAAGGCAGCAGGCGCGCAAAUUACCCAAUCCCGACACGGGGAGGUAGUGACAAUAAAUACUGAUGCAGAGCUCUUUUGGGUUUUGCAAUUGGAAUGAGUACAAUUUAAAUCCCCUAACGAGGAACAAUUGGAGGGCAAGUCUGGUGCCAGCAGCCGCGGUAAUUCCAGCUCCAAUAGCGUAUAUUAAAGUUGUUGCAGUUAAAAAGCUCGUAGUUGAAACUUGGGCCUGGCUGGCCGGUCCGCCUCACCGCGUGCACUGGUCCGGCCGGGCCUUUCCUUCUGGGGAGCCGCAUGCCCUUCACUGGGCGUGCCGGGGAACCAGGACUUUUACUUUGAAAAAAUUAGAGUGUUCAAAGCAGGCCUAUGCUCGAAUACAUUAGCAUGGAAUAAUAGAAUAGGACGUGUGG
rnacentral:rRNA from 1 species